GCAGUCUCAGGGCUCAGGAAGUGGCAGCAGAGGAUCCCUGGAGCAAUAAGCUGACUACAUAGACUAGCUGGAUCUUGGAAUACCAGGUUCCGUGAGAGAUCUUCCCUGAAUAAACCAAGUGGAAAGCAAUAGAGGAAGACAUCAACCCCAAGCCUCCACACAUGCACGAGUGUACACACACACACACACACACACACACACAUAUGCAGGAGCACACACACACAUACACACACAAGCCCACACAUGUGGUAACACAUACACAUAUGCAGGAGCACACACAUACAAGCUCACACACAUGACAAUACACCCACACAUACACACACAAGCCCACACAUGUGGUAACACACACACAUACACAUAUGCAGGAGCCGUUAUGCAUACAAGGAAGUCAGGGAACAACUUUUAGGAGUCCGUUCUCUCCUUCCACUGUGUGAG
rnacentral:lncRNA from 1 species